CAUCAGUAGGUAAUCCUUACCUAUAUAUUUCUAAUGAUGAAGGAGAUGGCCAUAUCCCUCGGGAUUGAAAAUCAUGAAAAACUGGCUGCAAUGCUGAU
rnacentral:snoRNA from 14 species